rnacentral:lncRNA from 1 species
AACAAGAUAAUCUUCUCGUUGCCUGGCUUUUGACUUCCAUGUUUACUUUUCACCUCACCCAAAUGGUUGGCCUGCAUUUCGUUCAUCUCAUAUGGGAUAAGUUGAACGUUUACCUCACACACUCGUGCCAAGAUUCAUAAACUCAAGUUUUAAUUCAAAUCUCAAAAACAUGAUCGUACAAUCUCAACAUAUCUUCUUGACAUCAAAAGAGUGGUUAACUCUCUUGCUUCCUAUGAAGAUCAUCUCGCAACGUCAUUUUCGAUGGUUUACCGAAGGAGUACGACAACUUCAUCAUUUCCAUCACAUCUCUUCUUGAUCCAUAUAUCGUUGAAGACAUUGAGACUCUGCUUUUGGCUUAAGAAUAUUGUUUUGAAAAACACAAGUUUCUUGAUCCUUCUCUUGCACAAGCUAAUCUUACCUCUACCAACUUGGGUCAUACGUCAUCUUCGAAACCUUUCUUUCGUGGAAACUCUUCUCGUGGUGGUCGUGGUUCUUCGCAAAUGUAUUCUAACAACAAAAGACAAUUUCUCCCCCAAAAGUUUGUGGUCUGGUUAUGUUUUCUUUCCGUCUUAAUAAUCUCGUGUUCAAUGUCAAUUAUGCUUCAAAUUUGGACACACUACGCUACACUGUUGGACACGGUCUGACCUAGGUCUUUUCUCUAAAAUUUCUACUAAUACUUCCUUUUUUUUAGCCCACUAUCAAUGCAUCUAAACCGUCCAUUUAAGGCACACCCUCCACGACCAAUGAUCCCAUGUGGUACCCUGAUACUAGAGCUACACAUCACAUAACGCAUAACUCUUCUGUUUCUCCAAGAAACAAAACUACACUAGUAAUGAUACUGUCCAACUUGGCAAUGACUCAGGUAUGCCUAUUCGUAACAUUGGAUCUGUGUCUUGAUAAGUGUCUAAUUUCAGUAAUAUUUCAUAUUAAAAUAUAGACACUUAUGAAGAUUUAUUGCUAAUUUACAUAUAAAAUAAUCCCUAAUUUAUGAAUUUAUACCUUUUUACAUUUUUAUGAGCUUUAUUUGAAUAAGAACAUUUUAUUUCCAAAUUUGGUGUUAAUUGCAGAUUUCUAGGGAAGAUUGAAGAUUUGGAAUAAAGGAGAAUAAUUUGAGCUGAAAAGAUAAAGCCGGAAGGUCCCAGAAUGGAAAAAGAUGCAAAGAAAGAUUGAGCCUUUUUUAUGUUUUAUCAUUUAACCCAUUAGCGCGACACAGGAAGCAACCUAACCCUAGAAAACUAGGAUAAAUAGAGGGC